UCCAACAAAUCUUAAAUGUAAAUAUUAUUAUGUCCAUAGAUUGAAGUUUCAGGUGGAGAGCAAGAUGAAAAAUAUGCAAAAUUACAUGCAUGCAACCCAUUUAUGCCAUUUUUCUCUUUGUUUGUAGGCCUGACCGUUUGUCCUUGAGCCGUAGAUGGUCAACAAUCCGCUAGCUGUCUUGCUCUGACUGGUGCACUGGACAUGAUUUCAAUAGUCAGCCAGACCAUGAUUGAGCUUAAGGAUUGUGCUGCGGAUGCAGCCUGUGCAGUUCCGGGAGAAAGUCACUGUCUCGGGCAAUGCGGUCUGGUAUCAGGUCUGGAUGAUCCUUGCCUGACUGCGGGUUUGUGUACACCUCAAUCCGACUCUGUGUCCUGAACAGAGGCCGCAGUGGGUGCAGCGCUUGUGGACGAUCCAUCAACAUCCUGAAAGGUCAACACUACACCAAGCUGGGAAAAUUGAUCCUGAUAGUCAUCCCCAGGUAGUGGAAUGAAUGUUCACUGAACUACAGAGGAAUCACAUCCAAAUGACUUUCCUGCCACGACAUUAGUGUGGCCACUCGCGUAGGAAUUCCUUAGCAAACAUGCUCUUUUGCAUGGUGACUGUGGACAUUUUUGCAAAACUUACGCUUUCAACACUGGAUUUUAAAGAGAAUACUUAAUAAAAUGUCGCUAACAGGACUUAUUUAUAUGAGAGAGACUAUCUGGAUGCGCAUUAAGUGUCACUUUGUGUCGUAAGCUGUUGAAGGAGCGAUUUGCGCCUUUUUAAGUGUUAAUUUUGGGUAGCCGGCUUGUAUCAGCUUGAAAGCUGAAAAUUAUGCCUCUCAUCAUAAUAGCAUUAAUUUUUGUAAUUGCAGUGUGUAUGUUUAGAUUGUAAGUGAAGCUUUUAAUAAUAAUUUUCU